rnacentral:rRNA from 1 species
UGGGGAAUAUUGCACAAUGGGCGCAAGCCUGAUGCAGCCAUGCCGCGUGUAUGAAGAAGGCCUUCGGGUUGUAAAGUACUUUCAGUCGGGAGGAAGGUGGUAAGGUUAAUAACCUUAUCAAUUGACGUUACCGACAGAAGAAGCACCGGCUAACUCCGUGCCAGCAGCCGCGGUAAUACGGAGGGUGCAAGCGUUAAUCGGAAUUACUGGGCGUAAAGCGCACGCAGGCGGUUGAUUGAGUCAGAUGUGAAAUCCCCGGGCUUAACCCGCGAACUGCAUUCGAAACUGGCAGGAUGGAGACUUGUAGAGGGGGGUAGAAUUCCAGGUGUAGCGGUGAAAUGCGUAGAGAUCUGGAGGAAUACCGGUGGCGAAGGCGGCCCGCUGGACAAAGACUGACGCUCAGGUGCGAAAGAGUGGGGAGCAAACAGG